AGUGAACGCUGGCGGCGUGCCUAAUACAUGCAAGUCGAACGAAGAGGCGCGCGGGGGAGUAAUAUAUAGUUAAACUUCCCUACACAGAGGAACAACAGUUGGGAACGGCUGCUAAUACCUCAUAGUGUAGGAUGAGACUAUAUCGUAUCAGCUAGUUGGUAAGGUAAGGGCGUACCCAGGCUAUGACGCGUAACUGGUCUGAGAGGAUGAUCAGUCGCAUCGGAACGGAGGCACCGUUCAGACUCCUUCGGGAGGCAGCAGUAAGCAAUAUUGCGCAAUGGGGGAAACCCUGACGCAGCAUCGCCGCGUGGAGGAUGACACUUUUCGGAGCGUAAACUCCUUUUAUUAGGAAAGCGUUACCUAAUGAAUAAGCACCGGCUAACUCCGUGCCAGCAGCCGCGGUAAUUC
rnacentral:rRNA from 1 species